UAAGCAUGUAGGCGGAGGUUCCAGGUAAAUCCGGUACCUUAUUAACGCUGAGGUGUGAUGACGAGGCACUACGGUGCUGAAGUGAUAAAUGCCCUGCUUCCAGGAAAAGCCUCUAAGCAUCAGGUAACACGAAAUCGUACCCCAAACCGACACAGGUGGUCAGGUAGAGAAUACCAAGGCGCUUGAGAGAACUCGGGUGAAGGAACUAGGCAAAAUGGUGCCGUAACUUCGGGAGAAGGCACGCUGAUGUGUAGGUGAAGCCCCUGCGGGUGGAGCUGAAAUCAGUCGAAGAUACCAGCUGGCUGCAACUGUUUAUUAAAAACACAGCACUGUGCAAACACGAAAGUGGACGUAUACGGUGUGACGCCUGCCCGGUGCCGGAAGGUUAAUUGAUGGGGUUAGUCCUCGGACGAAGCUCUUGAUCGAAGCCCCGGUAAACGGCGGCCGUAACUAUAACGGUCCUAAGGUAGCGAAAUUCCUUGUCGGGUAAGUUCCGANCGGCAACGCGAAGCUCUUGAUCGAAGCCCCGGUAAACGGCGGCCGUAACUAUAACGGUCCUAAGGUAGCGAAAUUCCUUGUCGGGUAAGUUCCGACCUGCACGAAUGGCGUAAUGAUGGCCAGGCUGUCUCCACCCGAGACUCAGUGAAAUUGAACUCGCUGUGAAGAUGCAGUGUACCCGCGGCAAGACGGAAAGACCCCGUGAACCUUUACUAUAGCUUGACACUGAACACUGGUCCUUGAUGUGUAGGAUAGGUGGGAGGCUUUGAAGCGUGGACGCCAGUCUGCGUGGAGCCAACCUUGAAAUACCACCCUUUAAUGGCUGGUGUUCUAACGUAGACCCGUAAUCCGGGUUGCGGACAGUGUCUGGUGGGUAGUUUGACUGGGGCGGUCUCCUCCCAAAGAGUAACGGAGGAGCACGAAGGUUGGCUAAUCCUGGUCGGACAUCAGGAGGUUAGUGCAAUGGCAUAAGCCAGCUUGACUGCGAGCGUGACGGCGCGAGCAGGUGCGAAAGCAGGUCAUAGUGAUCCGGUGGUUCUGAAUGGAAGGGCCAUCGCUCAACGGAUAAAAGGUACUCCGGGGAUAACAGGCUGAUACCGCCCAAGAGUUCACAUCGACGGCGGUGUUUGGCACCUCGAUGUCGGCUCAUCACAUCCUGGGGCUGAAGCCGGUCCCAAGGGUAUGGCUGUUCGCCAUUUAAAGUGGUACGCGAGCUGGGUUUAGAACGUCGUGAGACAGUUCGGUCCCUAUCUGCCGUGGACGUUGGAGAUUUGAGGAAAGCUGCUCCUNCAUCACUGGUGUUCGGGUUGUCAUGCCAAUGGCACUGCCCGGUAGCUAAAUGCGGAAGAGAUAAGUGCUGAAAGCAUCUAAGCACGAAACUUGCCCCGAGAUGAGUUCUCCCUGAGACUUUAAGUCUCCUGAAGGAACGUUAAAGACGAUGACGUUGAUAGGUCGGGUGUGUAAGCGCAGCGAUGCGUUGAGCUAACCGAUACUAAUGAACCGUGAGGCUUAACCUUACAACGCCGAAGGUGUUU
rnacentral:rRNA from 2 species